CGGUAAUUCCAGCUCCAAUAGCGUAUACUAAAGUUGUUGCAGUUAAAAAGCUCGUAGUUGGAUUUCUGCGCGGGUGGGGCGUCCGCCGGCCUCAGGUCGGGUUGGGCAGCAACGCCCGUGCAUCCUGCUGCGAUCCGCGCUACCAUUCGUUUGGUGGCGUCGGGGACCAGCUCGAUUACUUUGAGAAAAUUUGAGUGUUCAAAGCAGGCAAUUGCCUUGAAAAUUCUAGCAUGGACUAAUGGAUAAGGACUUUGGUUCUAUUUCGUUGGCUUUCGGAACCGAAGUAAUGAUUGAUAGGGACGGUUGGGGGCGUCUGUAUUCUGAAGCGAGAGGUGAAAUUCUUAGACCUUCGGAAGACAAACAGCUGCGAAAGCGUUCGCCAAGGACGUUCCCUUUGAUCAAGAACGAAAGUUGGGGGAUCGAAGACGAUCAGAUACCGUCGUAGUCUCAACUAUAAACUAUACCAGCUAGGGAUCGGCCAACGUUGAUCUACAAAGACUUGGUCGGCACCUUAUGAGAAAUCAAUAGCAUUUGGGUUCCGGGGGGAGUAUGGUCGCAAGGCUGAAACUUAAAGGAAUUGACGGAAGGGCACCACCAGGCGUGGAGCCUGUGGCUUGAUUUGACUCAACACGGGGAAACUUACCAGGUCCAGACAUAGGAAGGAUUGACAGAUUGACAGCUCUUUCUUGAUUCUAUGGGUGGUGGUGCAUGGCCGUUCUUAGUUGGUGGAGUGAUUUGUCUGGUUAAUUCCGUUAACGAACGAGACCCCAGCCUGCUAAAUAGCGCGCGUGGCUUCUGGCCGCGGCGAGCUUCUUAGAGGGACUACGGUUCGCCAUAGACCGGGGAAGUUUGGGGCAAUAACAGGUCUGUGAUGCCCUUAGAUGUUCUGGGCCGCACACGGGCUACACUGACGCGUGUAACGAGCAUAUCAGCUGGCCCGAGAGGGCAUGGGCUAAUCUUUUGAACUCGCGUCGUGCUAGGGAUUGACCAUUGCAAUUGUUGGUCAUGCAACGAGGAAUGCCUUGUAAACGCGAGUCAUCAACUCGCAUUGAAUACGUCCCUGCCCCUUGUACACACCGCCC
rnacentral:rRNA from 1 species